rnacentral:ncRNA from 2 species
CCUAUAAAAGGUAAUGGCGUACUACCUUCCCCAACCGCUAUAGAAUAUAGCUGAUGACGCCUGGCUUACG